AUUGAACGCUGGCGGCAGGCCUAACACAUGCAAGUCGAGCGAGCGGGGGAAGGGGGAGAAAUGUAUGGGGACUGCCCGGUAGAGGGGGGUAACAACUGGAAAAGGGAGCUAAUACAGCACACUAUCGGAUAACCCAUAUGGGAUUAGCUAGUAGGUGAGGGAUUGGCUCACCCAGGCGACGCUCCCUAGCUGGUCUGAGAGGAUGACCAGCCAGACUGGGACUGCGACACGGCCCAGACUCCUACGGAGGCAGCAGUGGGGAAUAUUUCACAAUGGGCGCAAGCCUGAUGCAGCCAUGCCGCGUGUAUGAAGAAGGCCCUAGGGUUGUAAAGUACUUUCAGUCGGGAGGCGUUAACGACAGAAGAAGCACCGGCUAACUCCGUGCCAGCCGCCGCGGUAAUAC
rnacentral:rRNA from 1 species